rnacentral:rRNA from 1 species
AAUACGAAGGGACCUAGCGUAGUUCGGAAUUACUGGGCUUAAAGAGUUCGUAGGUGGUUGAAAAAGUUGGUGGUGAAAUCCCAGAGCUUAACUCUGGAACUGCCAUCAAAACUUUUCAGCUAGAGUUUGAUAGAGGAAAGCAGAAUUUCUAGUGUAGAGGUGAAAUUCGUAGAUAUUAGAAAGAAUACCAAUUGCGAAGGCAGCUUUCUGGAUCAUUACUGACACUGAGGAACGAAAGCAUGGGUAGCGAAGAGGAUUAGAUACCCUCGUAGUCCAUGCCGUAAACGAUGUGUGUUAGACGUUGGAAAUUUAUUUUCAGUGUCGCAGCGAAAGCGAUAAACACACCGCCUGGGGAGUACGACCGCAAGGUUAAAACUCAAAUGAAUUGACGGGGACCCGCACAAGUAGUGGAGCAUGUGGUUUAAUUCGAAGAUACGCGCAGAACCUUACCAACACUUGACAUGUUCGUCGCGACUUUAAGAGAUUAAAGUUUUCGGUUCGGCCGGACGAAACACAGGUGCUGCAUGGCUGUCGUCAGCUCGUGUCGUGAGAUGUUGGGUUAAGUCCCGCAACGAGCGCAACCCUCACUUUUAGUUGCCAUCAUUUAGUUGGGCACUCUGAAAGAACUGCCAGUGAUAAGCUGGAGGAAGGUGGGGAUGACGUCAAGUCCUCAUGGCCCUUACGUGUUGGGCUACACACGUGCUACAAUGGUAUCUACAACAGGAAGCAAAACAGCGAUGUUAAGCAAAUCCUUAAAAGAUACCUCAGUUCGGAUUGCACUCUGCAACUCGAGUGCAUGAAGCUGGAAUUACUAGUAAUCGUGGAUCAGCGUGCCACGGUGAAUGCGUUCCCGGGUCUUGUACACACCGCCCGUCACACCAUGGGAGUUGGUUCUACCUUAAGGCAAGGUUUAAUACCCUUGACCACGGUAUAGUCAGC